GAGCUAUAGGCCAGAUUCCUUACAGCGCACCAGUCAUUGCAACUGGGCUUGAUGUUGAUGCUGGUUAUCCUUUUGGUGCUGAGCAACUCAGUCGGGGUGCUGAUGCUACAAAGACAGCUGGCAAAUAUGGCACAGGCUAUGCAGCUGCACUAAGUACUGGUGGUCAGGGGCCCUAUGGUGGACAAAAUGAUGGAAGCAAGCUUAGUGGCACUUAUGGGAAUGGGUACAAAGGUUGAUUUCCAAGACCAUGCUGUUAACUUUGUCAGUGUUUUUUUGGCCCCUUUUUGCCUAGUAUUCCUCACCGUUGUGCAGUUUUGUGACAUGUUUUUGUUUGCCAUAUUGUUUUAGUUUUAGGUUUGUGCCCAUUUGUGUGGGCAUGUGUGUUUUGUGUGUACGUGUGGUUUUAAUGUUCAUUGUUAUGUUCCUUGAUGUUUCCCCAGUCUGUUCAUUUGUUUUGUCCGGUGGAGUGUUUAAUGUCCCUUGUGUGUCUCUGUAUCUAACUAAAACAUGCUAAACACUUCAUUGGCUGUUAUUUUAAUUCUUAUGAAACACUAAAUAUUCCACCUC
rnacentral:lncRNA from 1 species